GGUGGUGUCUUCUACUCGACCU
rnacentral:siRNA from 1 species